rnacentral:rRNA from 1 species
AAGGCCUUCGGGUUGUAAACUGCUUUGUACGGAACGAAAAGGCUCCUUCUAAUACAAGGGGCUCAUGACGGUACCGUAAGAAUAAGCACCGGCUAACUACGUGCCAGCAGCCGCGGUAAUACGUAGGGUGCAAGCGUUAAUCGGAAUUACUGGGCGUAAAGCGUGCGCAGGCGGUGAUGUAAGACAGUUGUGAAAUCCCCGGGCUCAACCUGGGAACUGCAUCUGUGACUGCAUCGCUGGAGUGCGGCAGAGGGGGAUGGAAUUCCGCGUGUAGCAGUGAAAUGCGUAGAUAUGCGGAGGAGCACCGAUGGCGAAGGCAAUCCCCUGGGCCUGCACUGACGCUCAUGCACGAAAGCGUGGGGAGCAAACAGGAUUAGAUACCCUGGUAGUCCACGCCCUAAACGAUGUCAACUGGUUGUUGGGUCUUCACUGACUCAGCAACGAAGCUAACGCGUGAAGUUGACCGCCUGGGGAGUACGGCCGCAAGGUUG